rnacentral:rRNA from 1 species
GAGUUUGAUCGUGGCUCAGAGUGAACGCUGGCGGCAGGCCUAACACAUGCAAGUCGAGCGGCAGCACAGCAGUAGCAAUACUGUGGGUGGCGAGCGGCGGACGGGUGAGGAACACAUCGGAAUCUACCCUGUCGUGGGGGACAACGUAGGGAAACUUACGCUAAUACCGCAUACGACCUUUGGGUGAAAGCGGGGACCCGCAAGGGCCCCGCGCGAUUGGAUGAGCCGAUGUCCGAUUAGCUAGUUGGCGGGGUAAUGGCCCACCAAGGCGACGAUCGGUAGCUGGUCUGAGAGGACGACCAGCCACACUGGAACUGAGACACGGUCCAGACUCCUACGGGAGGCAGCAGUGGGGAAUAUUGGACAAUGGGGGCAACCCUGAUCCAGCCAUGCCGCGUGGGUGAAGAAGGCC